UACGGGGGGGGCUAGCGUUGUUCGGAAUUACUGGGCGUAAAGGGCGCGUAGGCGGUCUGCUAAGUUGGAUGUGAAAACUCUGGGCUUAACCCAGAGCCUGCAUUCAAUACUGACAGGCUAGAGUUCUGGAGGGGAUAGCGGAAUUCCUGGUGUAGCGGUGAAAUGCGUAGAUAUCAGGAGGAACACCGGUGGCGAAGGCGGCUAUCUGGACAGAAACUGACGCUGAGGCGCGAAAGCUAGGGGAGCAAACGGG
rnacentral:rRNA from 1 species